rnacentral:tRNA from 1 species
GUUAGAUUAACUCAAUUGGUAGAGUGUGUAUUUUGUAAGUACAAAGUUGAGAGUUCGAAUCCCUUAUCUAGCA